AAGUGGGCAUGUGUGAUCCAGCACGUUUGCAUUCGCAGUGAUUUGUCAGAGAAGUCUCUGGGAUGGAUAUGAUUUACACGCUUCUUUGCGGACUGCUCGUGGUCAGUCUGUCACUUUACGCAAAACCCUUCACCACAGUCCAGUACAAGUCCACGAAAACUCUCCCCGCAGCAGAGAGCAGGAGCGCGCUCAACAGGUCGCGCGCAGCCAAAGAGCCUCCAGAUCUGGACGCGAAAACCGGCGCAAAACAGCGGCCGUCAUCCGGUGAUCAGUCACGCAAAAAACAGCCUCCCAAAAACAGAGACAAACGGAAAAACUGCUUCGGCUUAAAGAUGGAUAGAAUAAGCGAUGUGAGCGGAAUGGGCUGCAAAAGUGACUGAGCGACAUAUGGGAGGUUAUUCAUGCUGAGUAAAAAGGACUAAAUGUGUCUCAUGCAGAAUGAACAUGAAUCAGGAAUGCUUAGUCAGUGGUGCUUUUGGAUUGCAACAGUUUGCAAUAUUUGGAUACAUGUUGUUGGAUCACUCCCUUACUGUUGUUAAAUUGCAUUUUGAAUUUUAGCAAACGAGCAUAAACUUAAAACAACAUUUAAUUCUCUUGCAUCAGUGUCGAUCAAACUGCGACAGGAAUAACUCAUAAGUGAUUUGUGCCUUGGUCAAUGUUGGGUUUGUGUUGAAACUGCAUGUUUAAGACUUUGUCUAUGUUCUUGUAAAAGAAAACAGUAUUGAGACUACUCUAUGUUACACUGAGAACGAGUUAUGUACAGAGAUGUAUAAUAAACUUAUAGUUUUUUAUU